rnacentral:rRNA from 1 species
AAUCAACGCUGGCGGCGUGCCCCAGACAUGCAAGUCGAACGAUUAAGACUUCCUUCGGGAAGUGCAUAAAGUGGCGCACGGGUGAGUAACACGUAAGUAAUCUACCCUCGAGUGGGGAAUAACAGUCGGAAACGACUGCUAAUACCGCAUAAUGCAGCGGCACCGCAAGGUGACAGUUGUUAAAGGAGCAAUCCGCUUGAGGAGGAGCUUGCGGCAGAUUAGCUAGUUGGUAAGGUAACGGCUUAACAAGGCUACGAUCUGUAUCCGGUCUAAGAGGACGGUCGGACACACUGACACUGAAUAACGGGUCAGACUCCUACGGGAGGCAGCAGUCGGGAAUUUUGGGCAAUGGGCGAAAGCCUGACCCAGCAACGCCGCGUGAAGGAUGAAGUAUUUCGGUAUGUAAACUUCGAAAGAAUAGGAAGAAUAAAUGACGGUACUAUUUAUAAGCACCGGCUAACUCUGUGCCAGCAGCCGCCGUAAAAC